UUCCGUUGUGAGAUGUAAACA
rnacentral:piRNA from 1 species